UUCCCCUAGUAACGGCGAGUGAAGCGGGAACAGCUCAAUUUGAAAUCUGGCCCUUGGGUCCGAGUUGUAAUUUGCAGAGGAUGCUUUUGGUGCGGUGCCUUCCGAGUUCCCUGGAACGGGACGCCUUAGAGGGUGAGAGCCCCGUACGGUUGGACACCAAGCCUAUGUAAAGCUCCUUCGACGAGUCGAGUAGUUUGGGAAUGCUGCUCAAAAUGGGAGGUAUAUUUCUUCUAAAGCUAAAUAUUGGCCAGAGACCGAUAGCGCACAAGUAGAGUGAUCGAAAGAUGAAAAGCACUUUGAAAAGAGGGUUAAAUAGCACGUGAAAUUGUUGAAAGGGAAGGAUUUAUGACCAGACUUUUUCUAGGGGGAUCAUCCGGUGUUCUCACCGGUGCACUUCCCCUAGUUGAGGCCAGCAUCGGUUUCUGUCGAGGGAUAAAAGCUUUAGGAAUGUGGCUCCCUCCGGGGAGUGUUAUAGCCUGUUGCAUAAUACCUUGACGGGGACCGAGGUUCGCGCAUUGCAAGGAUGCUGGCGUAAUGGUUAUUAAUCACCCGUCU
rnacentral:rRNA from 2 species